AUUGCAGUUCUUGUUGUUGAGCAGCAUGUUGCUGCUUAGCCAUGGGAGGCGGGAAAUGAGUUGGAAGCCAGUCCUUUUAAUUAUCCUUCAAAUGCUUCCUGUGCUCAGCAGAUGUUGGGCUGCGGGGCAGGCAGCCGAGCAGCAGGGCUCCCUAACACUGCACACACACAUCAGGACUUGGCUGCUGACUCCCCUGCUCCUCGGGCUGGGUGCCUCUGAGUCACCCUUGGCCUUCAGCACAAAUCUACCUCCUCAUCGCUAAUCAGCUCCUUGUGUCUUAUGACGGCGGCAUCCAGUGUGGAGAUGUCGAGUGUGGAAAAAGGGUCCAGGCGGCGAGCACGGCUCCGACUUUCUGCCUUCAGCCUAAUGCUGAAUGACAGAUAGUAAAAGCGGAGGAACCCUGAAGAGUCAAUUUGGAGCUGGAGUGGCAUUUCAAACCCCGCUGCUAAAAUGUUAGAGAGAGGGGGAAAAAAACGUUCAAUCAGACACCAAACUCGGCUCUGGGAGCUCUUCACUCAGAAAAGCAAAGCAGCUUUCACUGAGAUGGUGUUCAGAGGCUGAACAUGAUGAUAUGCCUCACAGAACCGUUGUUGAAUGAGACUGCCACUGACGCCUUUGUCAGAUUGGUGACAAUCAUUGAAUUUGAAUAGUGUAUGUGCACAUGUGUAAAUGCAUUUGCACAUUUAUUCAUUCAUUCGUUUGCAAAAGGAUUCUUGUGUUGAUAUAUUCAUAGGUCUUUGAACGUGAACACAUUUUUGUAUUGAUACAAUGUGUAUGUAUGUGUGUACUUUGAAUUUGCCUUUAGAUCUUAAAUCAGUAGCUGAUUAAUAAAUUAGUCGAUCAACAGAAAAUGAAUCUGCAGCUGCAUCG